UGGAAAGACGCACCUAGCACAAGCGACUGGAUGUCUCUGCUUUUAACUAAAUCUCCUCAGACUUAGUCACAGCAAGGACUCCACAAGCGGAGGUCCCACCAAGAUCCGAAAAGACGGGAGACCCUGAGAGAGAGCCCUUGGAAGGCUGGCUAGCAAAUUAACAUGCUUUGAAGCAAGACCCCACCCACCCCUGAAGCAAUGGCCAGGUGAUCCAACAUUGAAGACUCCUGGGACGAUGCAGUCACACACCACUACGGUCAGGAUUUCCGGGUUUUCUUAGGAUCCCCACAGUAUUUCAGCGCCCCCAAUCAGCAGGAAGUAGUUUGGAGAGAACAACGCCCACAUUCCCAAAUACUGUUGAUAAAUGUGUGCUUUCAUUGAAAUGGGGUUGGUUAUAAAUGAUAAUGACCAGGAAUAUUAGCCAAAUGAUAGAGAAGUAAGUUAAGCUUUAGAGUAAAAAUGUAUAUAGUUGGAGAUCUGAGACAGAGAAUUAUUAGUCAGACAAUUGCGUAUUAUUUACUUAGGUAUAUUUUAGGAGCCAGGAGAGCUGAAGUCCAGAAGAAAGCAAGUAUAGAAAAUUUUAGCGUAUAAAGUUUGAAAGGAUCCUUCCCUGUGGCAGAAGCCACUGCCACAGGUGUAUCAGAGCUGCCCCGGGGCUAGGGGAAAUGAAGGUGUAAUUGAGCAGGGCAGCAGGAAAUAUCUGCUGCCCCUGAACUGGUUAGCAAUGUAAUAGAGACAGACCAGAGACCUACUGAGGAGCGGCUAAAUGGAAAAGAAUACAUACACGGGGCAUUGUGAUUGGGAGGAGUAUGAAGAGAGCGUUACUAAGUAAGCAUCGGGAUGGAGAGUCUUCACCUCCUUCGUUUUAAACUGGGGAAUACAGAGAGGCAAAAACCCAGUGGUAAAAUUGGCAGGAGCGAAGAGGCUUGAAAGACUUAGUGGAAUCCCUCUCACGGGUGAUAGGAAAUUUGCAGGUUUCCUCAGAUCAGAGAAAUAAAUGUGCCUUUGUCCAUGAAGGCAACCAGCAUGGGUCAGCCUAAGUCAUGGCCGGCAGCCACAGCGGGUCAGAUGUCUGCAAUGCAAGCUCAUAUUAGACAAGCAUUGGAUAGAAAGAGAUGCUCGGGGAUUUCCGACAUUUCCUAUAUAGGAGCAUAGAGAGAACUCAGAAACAUAAGCAAGAUGCAGACGCCGAUACCAUUUAAGCAGCUCAAGGAACUAAGGACGGCUUCUGUUCAUUCUAGAUCAACAGUGGUUUUUACCCAGAUGCUGAUAGGGAAUGUUGCUGUAGAAGCCUUACCCCUGGGAAUUUGGAAGCAGAUAGCCAAGGCCUCCUGGUCAGGGGGAGAUUAUUUGUUAUGAGAGCAGGCAGGGACCCUAGGGAGUUAUUUCAGAAUUUGUCUCUAAGCCAAUGCGGACUUUAUCCCAAAAAAAGCUAGAGGCACAGGUGUUGGACCUUUUGAUUGUGAAACCGCUAGCUUAUGAGAACAUUAGUACAGCAUGCCAGGCCAUGCCAAGGCCUCACAGAAAGAAGGCUGACAUAGACGAGUUCGUUAAGAUUUGUUUAGAUAUCAGACCUAUUUAGACUCCGGGAUUAGUCAUGGCAGCUGCCUUGCAGGAACUUUAGUUAAAAAUGUUAUGACUAUAGAGAAAGCAAGGAAUGAGGAGGUGAAAAAAAGGCACAGAGCCUUCUAGAGGUUGCUUUGGAUCUGAUCAGGAAGGGCACUGGGUCAGAUGGUCCCAACAGAAAAGGAAAUGGGGAAUCGGGCUUAUGUACAAGAUUCAGC
rnacentral:lncRNA from 1 species